CUUCGUUCUCGGGGCGGGGUGUAAUUCCCCACCGGCGGUAAAGACUUUACAUAAGUUAAAUUCUAAGCCCGCGAGCGCCUUCAAGAAACUUUUCUUUUAGGGUCAGCAGAUCUGGUGUAAUUCCAGAGCCGACGGUUAUAGUCCGGAUGAUAGAGAGCGCGU
rnacentral:ncRNA from 15 species